GUAAUAAUCCUUUCGAUCUAUUUGACGCAAAGUUGAGUAAAAUUUAAGUUACUACCCGAAAAAAUAUUAUAUAUUUAUAUGAAAACAAAAAGUCAAAAUGGGAAGAAGUGUUACUGUUUGGAUGCUCUCUUUAUGCAGUUUGAAUAUUUCCUUGUUUUUGAGUACGAGACUUGGCAGUGCCUUCUUUCCAUCCCCUUUGGCGAGCCCUUUGCUCCCACAUAGCUGUUAGUCUCUUUUGUGCAGUUAAUACUGCUUCAGCUUUCUCUCUUGCUUCUUCACAUGUUUCCAUCCCAGAAUUGCACUUGUCUGCUUCUUUUUGA
rnacentral:misc_RNA from 1 species